UAGCGGCGGCCGGGUGAGUAAUGCUUAGGAAUCUGCCUAUUAGUGGGGGCCAACAUUCCGAAAGGGAUGCUUAAUCCCGCAUACGUCCUCCGGGAGAAAGCAGGGGAUCUUCGGCCCUUGCGCUAAUAGAUGCGCCUAAGUCGGAUUAGCUAGUUGGUGGGGUAAAGGCCUACCAAGGCGACGAUCUGUAGCGGGUCUGACAGGAUGUCCGCCCCCUGGGAAUGGGCCCCGGCCCAGACUCCUACGGGAGGCAGCAGUGGGGAAUAUUGGCCAAUGGGGGGAACCCUGAUCCAGCCAUGCCGCGUGUGUGAAGAAGGCCUUAUGGUUGUAAAGCCCUUUCAGCGAGGAGGAGGCUACUGAGACUAAUACUCUUGGAUAGGGACGUUUGCUCCGCC
rnacentral:rRNA from 1 species